UAGUCCACACCGUAAACGCUGUCUACUAGCUGUGUGUGAAUUUAAUUCGUGCGUAGCGAAGCUAACGCGCUAAGUAGACCGCCUGGGGAGUACGGCCGCAAGGUUAAAACUCAAAUGAAUUGACGGGGGCCCGCACAAGCGGUGGAGCACGUGGUUUAAUUCGAUGCAACGCGAAGAACCUUACCUACUCUUGACAUAUCCAGAAUUUUCAGAGAUGAAUUAGUGCCUUCGGGAGCUGGAAUACAGGUGCUGCAUGGCUGUCGUCAGCUCGUGUCGUGAGAUGUUGGGUUAAGUCCCGCAACGAGCGCAACCCUUGUCCUUAGUUGCCAGCAUUAAGUUGGGCACUUUAAGGAGACUGCCGGUGACAAACCGGGAGGAAGGUGGGGACGACGUCAAGUCAUCAUGGGCCCUUACGAGUAGGGGCUACACACGUGCUACAAUGGGCGAGUACAGA
rnacentral:rRNA from 1 species